GGCAAAGGUGCCGUGCGGACGGAUGAGACCGGCCGGCUCCGGAAGGGACCAAGAUAAGCGAGGUCCGUUCGCCUUGUUUACAGAGUGGCUCUGAAUUCUGCCCCUCCAAGGCUCCAAGAACCAGCACUCAUCCCCUGCUGCCACCAUCCAUUGCUCAUUGAUUGCCUUGUACGAAAUAAAUUUGAUCUAGAAGCUCUUGCA